rnacentral:rRNA from 1 species
UGCGUAGGUGGUUUCUUAAGUCAGAGGUGAAAGGCUACGGCUCAACCGUAGUAAGCCUUUGAAACUGGGAAACUUGAGUGCAGGAGAGGAGAGUGGAAUUCCUAGUGUAGCGGUGAAAUGCGUAGAUAUUGGGAGGAACACCAGUGGCGAAGGCGACUUGCUGGACUGCAACUGACGUUGAGAUGCGAAAGCUAGGGGAAGGCAAAC